CUCGUAGCUUAAUGGUUAGAGCAUUGGUGUGUAAAGCCAAAGGUACCGGGUUCGAUUCCCAACGAG
rnacentral:tRNA from 1 species